rnacentral:rRNA from 1 species
GUAGGUGGCAAGCGUUGUCCGGAAUUAUUGGGCGUAAAGCGCGCGCAGGCGGUUCUUUAAGUCUGAUGUGAAAGCCCACGGGCUCAACCGUGGAGGGUCAUUGGAAACUGGAGAACUUGAGUACAGAAGAGGAAAGCGGAAUUCCACGUGUAGCGGUGAAAUGCGUAGAGAUGUGGAGGAACACCGGUGGCGAAGGCGGCUUUCUGGUCUGUAACUGACGCUGAGGCGCGAAAGCGUGGGGAGCAAACAGGAUUAGAUACCCUGGUAGUCCACGCCGUAAACGAUGAGUGCUAAGUGUUAGGGGGUUUCCGCCCCUUAGUGCUGCAGCUAACGCAUUAAGCACUCCGCCUGGGGAGUACGGCCGCAAAGGCUG